AUCACACUGUGUUCCUCCAACAGUUUGAUGAUGGGACUAAGACAAUCUUAAUUGUAUAUGCUGAUGACAUAAUCCUGAUAGGAGAUAACACAGUGGAGUGGAAAUGGAGAAACUUAAGGAGAAUCUAGCCACUGAAUUUGAAGUAAAAGAUCUGGAACAAAUGCAAUACUUCUUAGGAACGGAAGUAGCCAGGUCAAAAAGGGGCAUUAGCGAUUCAUAGAGAAAGUACGUUUUUGACCUUCUCACUGAAAUAGGAAUGCUUAGAUGUAAACCAGGUAAUAUACCAACUGAUACGAGUAAUAAAAUCGAGAUACCUACAGUGCAGCAGACACAGAUAGAUAUCAAUGACUAGUAGGUAAGCUAAUCUACUUGUCACACACUAAACUUGACAUUGCAUUUGCAGUUAGCAUGAUAAGUCAACAUAUGCACUCUCUGAAGGAAGUUCAUCUCGAAGCUGUCUGUAAAAUACUCAGAUAUCUCAAGGGUUCAUCAGAGAAGGGACUAUUCUUCAAAAAGCAUAAAAUGAAAGACGAAGUCUUCAUGGAUGCCGACUGGAUGGGUUCUAUGAAAGAUAGAAGAUCAACUACCAAAUCUGCACUUUUGUAUGGGGAAAUCUAGAAACAUGAAGAAGCAAGAAAGGAGAAGCAAGAAACAAAUUGUAGUUGCCAGAUGCAGUACUAAAGCAGAGUUUAGAGCAAUAGCACAAAGAAUAUGUGAAGGAUUAUGGUUGAAGAAACUCCUAAAUGAGCUACGUAUUACUAUAAAAUUACCUGGUAAAUUAUAUUGUGACAAUAAAGCUGCUAUCAUCAUCUUUCUCAACCUAGUCCAACAUGAUCGGACAAAACAUAUUGAGGUUUAUCAAAGAAAAGGUAGAAGAAGAGACUAUUUGCAUGACAUAUGUUCCCACACAGGAGCAAGCUGCAAACAUUUUUAGUAAAGGGCUACCUUGAUCAAAAUUCGAUGAUCUUUCUCACAAGUUGGAUAUUAUUAAUAUUUGCAAUCCAACUUGAGGGGGAUUGUUGUAAUCCCGGAUAUGUGGAAAUAUUCCACCGUCCCUAAUUAGCAUUAUCUAUUUAGGAAAAUUAUAAUUCUUGCAAUUAGGGAAGAUUGCAGAAGAUUUUUGCAUUGAUUUAGGAAUAUUGUUUUUCCUUAUUAAACUAUUUUGUAUACUAUAUAAGGCUGUAAUUAGGGUGUAAUUAUUCGUUGAGAAAUAAAGAGGAAUUCUCUACAAUUCACAAAUACUCUACAAUUAACUACUUGCUUGUAAAGAUUUUAUCCUUGUCGGAUAUAAUGCUUUGUAGUAAUCCAUGAAGUUUAAACACAACAUCAAAGAAGCUUCUUGCAACUAUAACGGCUAGGAGAUAAUAAUGAAGUGCCCAUAUUUUGUAAAUCUAUCUAUUGCCACCAUAAUAAUAUCUUUACCCCUUGAAUUUGGCAAUCUUUCUAUGAAGUCCAUGCUGAUGUGACUCCAAGCAUGUAGCGACACUAGUAAGGGCCGAAGUAAUUCAGGGAACGGCACGUGCUCUCUUUUACAUUUCUGACAUAUUCACACUACAUCAUCUCCAUCUUUAUACCUUGAUUCAUCCCUAGCCAGUAGAAGUGUUGCUUGGCCCUAUAAAUGCUAUUGUGAAUUCUUGAAUGGCCUCCUUUUUUAGAUCCAUGAACAUUUUGGAUCAAAUUUGAUCUAAUUUUCCCUUUUGUUCCAAUAUAUAAUCUGCCG
rnacentral:lncRNA from 1 species